CUGGACAUGUAUGGUCAUUUGAUUCAGCAAGUUGAACUGUCGGAUGAGAAUUUUGGGAUGAUGAAUCUAAGCUAUAUCACCAUGUAAUUAUCAAGUAAUGGUAGUAAUGAUUUUCGGUGAAAGAAAGUAAUCCAAAUUGGAAGGGAGAUAUUAACCUUAUUGUUGGUUAUAGUCAUGAGAGGGAGGAUGGAUGAAAAGAAUAGAUUGUCUAUCUAUCCUGACCCAUCAAUUUAUAUCCUUCCAAAGUGAGAGUAUGCAAGGAUAGAUGGAUAGAGUAUGUGAGAGUAUGGCUGGAACUGGGCUCGAAUAGUUUCGAGACCCAUUGGGCCGUGCCGACUUCGGGUCGGACUUCGGAC
rnacentral:lncRNA from 1 species